CCCUUGGGACCUUCUGUUUGAAGUAAAUCCACCCAACCAUUGAAAAACAUGCAGGCACAAAAAAUUUCAACUGCCAUCAGCUUUGACAACUAAUGGAAGAAACUGAAAUUGAAUUUACAUGAUCGAACGUGCACAGAAAUUUAAAGGGUUUACAUAGUGAACUCGUAAUAGUAUGUAUUUUUUUAUUGAAAAAUGAACGUUAUUACACGUAUAAAAUUUGAUAAAUUAAAGUAAUAUUAUAUUAAAAUUUAUAAAGAAAUAAUAUGUCUCUUGAAUGAAGUUAUAAGUCACGAAAUUCGCAAAAAUAUAUAAAUUACAUCACUAAAUAAUAUUUACAUAUACUAUAUAAACAAACUUCUAAAAUUACUGAAGAUUUUUUAAGGACUUCAUUUAAUUCUAAACUUACUCCUGAUUUGACUAAUCAGCAUUAGGGAGUGUGAAUUAGGGUGACCUUCACGAACGUAGUAAGAAUAAGAUAGUUUUAAAAUAUACACAUGUAAACAAACAAUCAUACAAAUUUGAUAAAAGAAAUACAUAUUUUAUUUUUUAAAAAAUCUAAUUUAAAAGACAAUUAUAUUCGUCAUCAUUAUUGUCAAAUAUAAACUAAGAAACAAUAAAAAACAUCAUCCUUUUCAUUACUCAUUCCAAGCAUAUCCUUUAUCUCUUACUUAACUACAGUACCACUUACACAACGCAUAUUGAUUUCACAUACACUAUUCUUUUACUAUUACUUAUUGUCCCAUAUUUAUUGAUUUCAGAAACACUUUGCACCUACCACAAUUUCCGUGUUGCACAUUUCAAACAUAGAUAUAUUUAUGCUUCACGUGAGCAUCCUCAUACCUCGUAUGAUAUGAAUACCUUACUAGUAUCCCUAUAUCUAGUCCGUUAUGAAUACCACUCAACAUAUUAUCCAGACAUCCUCAUAUUCCGUACAGUAUGAGUACCUCAUUGGCAACCCUAUACCCCCUCAGGUACGAGUAUCACUCAACAUAUCAUCUGAGUAUCCUCAUACUCCGUACAAUAUAAUUACUUCAUUGCCAUCCUCAUAUCCCAUCCGGUAUGAAUACUACUUAAUAUAUCAUCCGGAUAUCUCCAUACUCUAUACAAUAUAAGUAUCUCAUUGACAUUUCCAUACCCCUUUUAGUAUGAGUACCACUCAAUAUAUUAUCCAAGCAUUCUCAUACUAUGUACAGAAUGAGUACCUCAUUGACAUCUCCAUACUCCAUCCAAUACGAGUACCAAUAAUUGUAUCAUAUAUGUAUUUCUGUGCCCCGUCCGGUAUGAGCACCAAUAAUUAGAUCACAUGUGCAUCUUCAUACCCCAUCUGGUAUGAAUGCUCUAACAAACGAAUCAUAUUUCACAUUCAUCACACAUAUAUAUACGUGUAAUAGUCAAGCCAGGAAUAGAUUUGAACACAUACUGAAAACCUUUGAAAUUUCUAAAGGAAUUAUUAAUAGAACUUAACGGAAACAUGUACACUAUCGUUACAUGUAUGCACCCAGCUUCCAUUGCAACCUUGCACACAUACGUACACCCCCCUAAACAUUCACAAGCACCAAACAUAUUAUAUAAAUAGCAAGUGACCACAAUUUGAAUCUACACAUAUUACUUAUAUAUAUUUACAUUCAUACCGUUGUAUUUAACCAUAAUUAUGCAUAUAUAUACUUUCUUACAAUAUAUAUAUUACUUACAAUUAUAAUUUAAGACAAACUAUUUCAUAUAUAUUAACUAUAGUCUCAUAAUACUGAUAAAUAUAUAAAACGCAAACACAUAGCGUGCAUUCAUAUAUAUAAUUACAAAUGUACAAUUUCUUUAUAUACCUCUGUAUCCAAAGUGCACACAGUUUAUAUCCAUACAAAACAUAUACACAUAAAUAAAUUUGUACUUUAAAUCUGCAUGUACGCAGCUUCUACAUUUGCAUACCCAAAUACGUUAUCUUCCACAUUUUCAACAGCAUAUAUAUACUCAUCUCAAUUCCAUUACAAGAAUCACACACUUUCAACAUAUAUAUGCUAGUUUUCAGAAAAUAUUUAUCGAAAUAAACUUAAAAAUAAAUUGUGAAAUUUCAAACAAUUAUUUUAACGUAAUGAGCCAUUUUAGAAAAACGAUAAAAUCUUCAAAUAAAAACUGACUCAAUUUUUACCUAAAAUUCAAUCAGAAAAGCUGUGGGGAUCCGAGCUCCCCGCAAUCUAGCCACUCCUUUCCCACUGCACGCAACACAUUCUAGUUUCUUUCUCCGCCGUGGCGACGCAUGCCAAGAUCUACUUUUGUCAUCGCGUAAUCCCUCUCAUCUUAGCGCGGAUCUAUUCGCACCGGGUACAAGAUCUAUCUUUCCGUCACCACGCCAUCUCCCUCAUCUUACCAUCUGUUUGGAUAGUGAUAAA
rnacentral:lncRNA from 1 species